GCCGCUGUGACGCAAUUGGAUAGCGUAGUUGGUUUCUACCCAACCUGUUGCGGGUUCGAGUCCUGUCAGCGGCUCCA
rnacentral:tRNA from 1 species